rnacentral:lncRNA from 1 species
UCAAUCUCAAUUUUUCCUUCUUUACAUACAUUCGAUUCUUUUUCAUGUUUUUGACAAUUUUACUUUCUAAUUUUAACUCAAUUUAUCUUAUUCAGCUUUUUUUUUUUCUCCCCUUUUCAUAGCCAAACACCUAUUUGAUAUAAUUUAAUUUUAGACUACUAAUUUUAUUAAAGCGCUCCUGAAUAAUACUCACUGUGAAGG